UGCUGAUAAGUGGGAACACCUUAUUAAGUAUUGGGCCAUCGAAGAAGUAAAGGCACAAAGUGAUAAAAACAAAGCAAGUCGUGCAGAGCGAAAGUAUAAUCAUACUACUGGAACAAAAAGUUUUCCACGUGUUCAAAAGGAGCA